GGCAGGUGAGCGCGCCUUUGUCCGGGAGGCGUGCUAGGGCCUGGGCGGCGCUCCUUCCGCCUUCUUGGGAGGGGAACCAGAACUACUUAAUGCGGCUGCAUGUAUGAGUCUCUGGAAGCCUCCUCCCGCCUUUCCCUUGCUGGAAACUGAACCACUCUAUAAUGAAGCUGCACUGCGGAGUAGUAGAUGUGCCAGGAGACUGCUCAGAGAAGUUCGUUUAGAAUUCAUUGACUCAAGUUAUCUCCAGGGACUCCUUUCGAAGGCUUGUGGUGCUCGUGGAUCCCUUUUUAAAAUAAUGUUUGCAAAUGCAUAAAAUACAUAGGAAUUCAAAGGAAACCUAUUAUUCUGAAAUACAGAAAAUGAGACUCCGCCUUCCAACAGGAAAAAAACAAAGGCCAGGAAUGUGGGGAGAAAAACAAGGCAUGAAACUAUUCAAAGGCAGUAGGCAGUGGAAAAAGGUAUGCUUUAAAAAAUAAAAUAAAAUAAAGCAAAACAUCCUAAUGUGCAAGAGAGUUAGAUAAUUCUGUAGCAAUCCCCCCCCCCCAAAAAAAAAUGAAACAAUGGCAAACAAUUAAUUCUGGAUGAUUUAAAAGGGGAAAAAAUCUUAAGAUAGAAAUUAUGAGGCAAAUUAGAUUCAGAAUGAGAAAUUUAAAAGAAGAAUUUGGGGCAGGUAGGUGGUGCAGUGGAUAGAGCACCAGCCCUGGUCAGGAGAACCUGAGUUCAAAUCUGAGCUCAGACACUUAAAACUUUCUAGUUGUUAACCCUGGGCAAGUCACU